rnacentral:lncRNA from 1 species
CCGGUUCACCCUCUGAGUCAGGCCCUUGCCGAACACUUAACACUGGCCAUCGCAGUUAAAUGAACCAGAACAAAUCUCAUCUACUCCCCACUACAUGUCUUUUUCUCAGGCAAGGUCUUCUCUGCUCCAUGCGCAGUGAACCAGAAACGGCCUGGAAGCUCCCAGAGAAGUGCUAAGGAGCCUUGUAGCAGUGAGAGACCUUUAGCACAAGACAGGAGGAGGCCAAAUGAGCAGCGCAGAGCGCAGCAGGGAAAAGACGGUCUGCCCAAUCUGUCCCCUCAGGCCCAGGGGCUGACACGAUAC